UGGGGGUAAGUGAUUAAUGACAAAAUUUUCAAAAUGAGGUUGAGUAUUCCUUUAACUAGUUAAAGCUGAUAUUUUUAUUAAAAAUUUCCUCAGUUGGAGAGAUGCACAAAAUGCUGCCACAAUUUUCAUUGUCCCUUUUGUAUGCCCAGUUUAUUUAAGCCCUGCAGACCGGACAAAGUCAAAUUACACUUGAAAAGCCACCGUAACAAAGCAGUUGUCCAUGGAGAUUUCACUAUUCACAGAUGUGGACUGGGCUGUAGAGCAUCACUCCAUUACCACUGUAUGUACUAUACCAACAACAAUUCUUAGGUAGAGGUGAUUUUAAAAACAUAUUUUCACGGAUAUGUGUAAACGUGAAUCAUUUUGUAAAACAUUGUCGUGUAUACGUGAAAUCAGACUAACAGCAUAUGCAAAGAUGGAGUUUGAGACGGUCCGCACAUGUAAAUGAUAACUGUUUGUGUGGAGCAGCAUUUACUGUGAACGGAGCUGCUCUGAGAGCCACAUAAUUUGCGCGCAAAUAAAUGAAGCACAGAUUAAAGGAUUAGUUCCUGAUAAUGUACUCAUGUCAUCCAAGAUGUUCCUGUCUUUCUUUCUUCAGUCGCAAAGAAAUGAAGGUUUUUGAGGAAAACAUUCCAGGAUUUUUCUCCAUAUGAUGGACUUCAGUGGGAACCAACGAGUUGCAAGUCCAAAUUUGCAGUUUCAGCGCAGCUUCAAAGGGCUCUACACAAUCCCAGCCGAGGAAUAAGGGUCUUAUCUAGUGAAACGAUUGGUCAUGUUCUUUUAAACCACAAAUGCUUGUCUUGCACUAGCUAGGCAGGAGUACUGACCCAGUGUUUACAAAGUGAACGAGCAAAGAAAGUCAAACGUUCUUUAUAAAAAAAAAAAGGUAAACAAUGAAGUCGGACAAUUUUGAAGUUGGAAGAAAAAUGAGAUGGAGUACACAGAGUACACAGACAAAGAGCACUAUGCUGUAUAAUGAUUUUUAAAUGGUUGUAAUAUUUCAUGCAGCCUAAGAAGACGGUCUAAUAAUGCUUUUCAUGGAUUCUCGUCUGUGGAAUGCGCCACUCGAAUUACUCAAAUUUAAUCGAGGAAUCAUGGCAGUCCUAAAAUUUACACUGUUGAAAAUGGUAUAAAACAAAAAAUCUAAUGAAAACACGAAAAAAAAAAAGUGUGCUUAUUUCUAUUGAUUUUGCACUUGUAGUGUACUUCAAAUCUUAAAAAUAUAUUUUUAAAGAACUGUAAUUACAGAUAGUUUAGCAUGAAAUAAAAGGCCUCAAAUGUGUACCUAAAGAGAGUUUAAAUUCAUAAGUGUUUCUUAACAUUUUUAAGAACACUUUUAAAGUAAUAAUCUCAAAUUGUCUCAAUUUGAAUAAUCUCAAAUGUCUCAAAGAAUUAUGAAUUUCCAUGUAAACAUGUAUUUAAGUCCUACUUAAAUGGGCCAAGAAAGCACUCUUAAGUUAACUACUUAAGUAAUUGUAUUUUGAAUAAAUUUUAACUAGAACACAACCAAUAUUUUCUCUAGGUCCAUACAUCAGUGAGCAGAGCAGUUGAGUUUUUACAACUUACGACAGGAGUAGAGUUUAUACCUCCAGAAACAAUACUGCAUGCAUAUUUGCAGUUUGAAGCCCUCACAGAUCAUGAAUAUAAGUAUGCAUGCCCCACCUGUGGUGAUUAUCCUCCGGUGGUGAUUAUGGGUGUUCACAAACAGACUGCUUCUCCAUUAUCAGGUAUAAAAAUUGUAAUGCUGUUAAAUGGCUAGUUUAUUUCUUUAAUAUUUAUUGACAUGUUGUUCUUGUCAUAGUUAAAUACUCAAGCAGAGUUUGAGAAAGUCCACACUUCAAAGUCUGUAUCAGAGAUUUUAGAAAUGACCGUUACAGAGGAAAGACUCAGAGAAGAACUUUUCAAACAGAAGGUUUGCUUUAUUAGUACAACAACACUUUUGUGUUAUAUUAUUGUUUUUGAUAUUUUGAUAGGAUGACGUUAUUAGAAGUUUAUGCAAUGAAUGUGGUGUGGUAUCCACUGGAUCUUGCAGUGAUCGCCUUCUUAGAUUGUCCAAUGAAAUGAGAUCCAGGCAAACAUAUGACAAAAUCUAUUCAAAAAUCUAGAGUGCCACUGGUGAACUUCAUUUUUACUCUACUGUUUUAACUCUAUUCCUGUAAAUGUGUAGUAUUGUGGAAUUAAUGCCAAUAUGUAAAUUACUGCUUCUAACAUAAAAUAAAUAAAUAAAUGUAUAUCUUCCAAAUCAAAGUCAUGUGGUGUGAACAACAUGCACAGAAAUGUCGUUGACCUUUUAAUGACAAGGCAAAGGUAGUUAAAAAUGUUGUUUCCCCAUAAAAUAUUUAUGAAUUUGUAAUUCACUUUUGUAAAAACACUUUUUACCUUGUAUACUCAAGCAAACGUUUGGGGUCAGUAAGAUUUUUUUGUUUUUGAGUCUCUUAUUCUCACUAAGGCUGCAUCAUAAAUGCAAUAAAAACACUAAUAUUGUGAAAUAUUACAUUUGAAAAUAUCUGUUUUCUGUUUUAAUUUAAUAUUCCUGUGAUAGCAAAGCUGUAUUAGUUCUCAAGAAACAUUUAAAAACAGUUGUUGCUUUAUAUUUUUUCUUUUUUUUUCUAGGAUUCUUACGUACUGUGUGACCAUUUUCAUGAAGGCAGCACAGAAGAUGAAGAUGUUCUGAGGAAGCUGGCCGAUAAAGUCAAUAGUGAGAUUA
rnacentral:lncRNA from 1 species